GAUGAAGAACGUAGCGAAACGCGAUAGGUAAUGUGAAUUGCAGAAUUCCGUGAAUCAUCGAAUCUUUGAACGCACAUUGCGCCUGCUGGUAUUCCGGGGGGCAUGCCUGUCCGAGCGUCAUUGCUGCCCUCAAGCACGGCUUGUGUGUUGGGCCUCCGUCCUCCUCCCGGGGGACGGGCCCGAAAGGCAGCGGCGGCACCGCGUCCGGUCCUCGAGCGUAUGGGGCUUCGUCACCCGCUCUUGUAGGCCCGGCCGGCGCUUGCCGACACAUCAAUCUUUUUUCCAGGUUGACCUCGGAUCAGGUAGGGAUACCCGCUGAACUUAAGCAUAUCAAUAAGCGGAGGA
rnacentral:misc_RNA from 1 species